rnacentral:rRNA from 1 species
UACGUAGGGUCCAAGCGUUAUCCGGAAUCACUGGGCGUAAAGAGUGCGUAGGCGGGUACUUAAGUGAGAUAUUAAAGCGUGUGGCUCAACCAUACUGUUGUAUCUCAUACUGGGUGCCUAGAGGACGGCAGAGGCAAGUGGAAUUACCGGUGUAGCAGUGAAAUGCGUAGAGAUCGGUAGGAACACCAAUGGCGAAGGCAGCUUGCUGGGCCGACCCUGACGCUAAGGCACGAAAGCGUGGGGAGCGAACAGG